rnacentral:rRNA from 1 species
UACUGGCAUUGUUGGUUUCUCCCUUCUGACGAACCAUGAUGUCAUUUAUUUGGUGUUGUGGGGAAUCAGGACUGUUACUUUGAAAAAAUUAUAGUGUUUAAAGCAGGCUCACGCUUGAAUACAUUAGCAUGGAAUAAUGAAAUAGGACGUUUGAUUCUAUUUUGUUGGUUUCUAGGAUCGACGUAAUGAUUAAUAGGGAUAGUUGGGGGCAUUAGUAUUCAAUUGUCAGAGGUGAAAUUCUUGGAUUUAUUGAAGACUAACUACUGCGAAAGCAUUUGCCAAGGAUGUUUUCAUUAAUCAAGAACGAAAGUUAGGGGAUCGAAGACGAUCAGAUACCGUCGUAGUCUUAACCAUAAACUAUGCCGACUAGGGAUCGGAUGAUGUUAAUUUUUUAAUGACUCAUUCGGCGCCUUACG